AUGUCUAUCAGCCUCAGACGGUGCUGGUGUGUGUGUGUGUGUACUGAACUGGCAUGUCUAUCAGCCUCAGACGGUGCUGGGACCAGUGUGUGUGUGUGUGUGUGUGUGUGUGUGUGUACUGAACUGGCAUGUCUAUCACCCUCACACGGUGCUGGUGCCAGUGUGUGUGUGUGUGUGUGUACUGAACUGGCAUGUCUAUCACCCUCACACGGUGCUGGGACCAGUGUGUGUGUGUGUGUGUGUGUGUGUGUGUGUGUGUGUGUGUGUGUACUAAACUGGCAUGUCUAUCACCCUCAGACGGUGCUGGUGCCAGUGUGUGUGUGUGUGUGUACUGAACUGGCAUGUCUAUCACCCUCAGACGGUGCUGGUGUGUGUGUGUGUGUACUGAACUGGCAUGUCUAUCACCCACAGACGGUGCUGGGACCAGUGUGUGUGUGUGUGUGUGUGUGUGUGUGUGUGUGUGUGUGUGUGUGUGUACUGAACUGGCGUGUCUAUCAGCCUCAGACGGUGCUGGGACCAGUGAUACAGAGACCAUCACCCUCAACACUGCUGCUCUUCAGACCUUACAGAUCCUCCCUUCUUUCCACCUGCACCCUACAGGAACUCCAGGGACAUAUUUCCUUCAGACAGCAGCCAAUCAGAGCCUGCCGCUCAGUCUUUCCAGCAAUCCCACCGUGACCCUGACGGCUAGCUCCUCGUCCCCAGAACACAUCAUCCUACACAGCCUCUCAGUGAGUGUUCGGGACGGAUCCACAUGAACUGGUCCCAUGAGGUUCUUUCGGACCCUAAAACCCCUCAUGAUUCGUUUUCAUUGGCAGUGACAUUUUGUUAAUUCUCUUGUUUUGAGCGACAAAUUUUUGUUUUUCCUUGCUGGGGAACGUAACAGGAAGUAAUCGGCGGCAGGGUAGCGUAGUGGUUAGAGCGUUGGACUAGUAACCAGCAGCGUAGCCUAGUGGUUAGAGCGUUGGACUAGUAACCAGCAGCGAAGCCUAGUGGUUAGAGCGUUGGACUAGUAACCAGCAGCGUAGCCUAGUGGUUAGAGCGUUGGACUAGUAACCAGCAGGUAGCCUAGUGGUUAGAGCAUUGGACUAGUAACCAGCAGGUAGCCUAGUGGUUAGAGCGUUGGACUAGUAACCAGCAGGGUAGCCUAGUGGUUAGAGCAUUGGACUAGUAACCAGCAGGUAGCCUAGUGGUUAGAGCGUUGGACUAGUAACCAGCAGGUAGCCUAGUGGUUAGAGCGUUGGACUAGUAACCAGCAGGUAGCCUAGUGGUUAGAGCGUUGGACUAGUAACCAGCAGCGUAGCCUAGUGGUUAGAGCGUUGGACUAGUAACCAGCAGCGUAGCCUAGUGGUUAGAGCGUUGGACUAGUAACCAGCAGGUAGCCUAGUGGUUAGAGCGUUGGACUAGUAACCAGCAGGGUAGCGUAGUGGUUAGAGCGUUGGACUAGUAACCAGCAGCGUAGCCUAGUGGUUAGAGCGUUGGACUAGUAACCAGCAGGGUAGCCUAGUGGUUAGAGCGUUGGACUAGUAACCAGCAGCGUAGCCUAGUGGUUAGAGCGUUGGACUAGUAACCAGCAGGUAGCCUAGUGGUUAGAGCGUUGGACUAGUAACCAGCAGGGUAGCCUAGUGGUUAGAGCGUUGGACUAGUAACCAGCAGCGUAGCCUAGUGGUUAGAGCGUUGGACUAGUAACCAGCAGGUAGCCUAGUGGUUAGAGCGUUGGGCCAGUAACCAGCAGGUAGCCUAGUGGUUAGAGCGUUGGACUAGUAACCAGCAGGUAGCCUAGUGGUUAGAGCUUUGGACUAGUAACCAGCAGGGUAGCCUAGUGGUUAGAGCGUUGGACUAGUAACCAGCAGGUAGCCUAGUGGUUAGAGCGUUGGACUAGUAACCAGCAGGUAGCCUAGUGGUUAGAGCGUUGGACUAGUAACCAGCAGGUAGCCUAGUGGUUAGAGCGUUGGACUAGUAACCAGCAGGUAGCCUAGUGGUUAGAGCGUUGGACUAGUAACCAGCAGGGUAGCGUAGUGGUUAGAGCGUUGGACUAGUAACCAGCAGCGUAGCCUAGUGGUUAGAGCGUUGGACUAGUAACCAGCAGGGUAGCCUAGUGGUUAGAGCGUUGGACUAGUAACCAGCAGCGUAGCCUAGUGGUUAGAGCGUUGGACUAGUAACCAGCAGGUAGCCUAGUGGUUAGAGCGUUGGACUAGUAACCAGCAGGGUAGCCUAGUGGUUAGAGCGUUGGACUAGUAACCAGCAGCGUAGCCUAGUGGUUAGAGCGUUGGACUAGUAACCAGCAGGUAGCCUAGUGGUUAGAGCGUUGGGCCAGUAACCAGCAGGUAGCCUAGUGGUUAGAGCGUUGGACUAGUAACCAGCAGGUAGCCUAGUGGUUAGAGCUUUGGACUAGUAACCAGCAGGGUAGCCUAGUGGUUAGAGCGUUGGACUAGUAACCAGCAGGUAGCCUAGUGGUUAGAGCGUUGGACUAGUAACCAGCAGGUAGCCUAGUGGUUAGAGCGUUGGACUAGUAACCAGCAGGUAGCCUAGUGGUUAGAGCGUUGGACUAGUAACCAGCAGGUAGCCUAGUGGUUAGAGCGUUGGACUAGUAACCAGCAGCGUAGCCUAGUGGUUAGAGCGUUGGACUAGUAACCAGCAGGGUAGCCUAGUGGUUAGAGCGUUGGACUAGUAACCAGCAGCGUAGCCUAGUGGUUAGAGCGUUGGUCUAGUAACCGAAAGGUUGCAAGUUCGAAUCCCCGAGCUGACAAGGUAAAAAUCUGUCGUUCUGCCCCUGAACAAGGCAGUUAACCCACUGUUCCCCGGGAGGCCGUCAUUAUAAAUCAGAAUUUGUUCUUAACUGACUUGCCUCGUUAAAUAAAGGUUAAAUAAAAAAAUAUCUAAUAAUGAAUCUAAUAAUUCUAUUGUAAUUUCUGUACAAUAGAAGAUAUUUAAACCCAGACAGCUUUUAGAGAAACAAUUGUGAGCGAUUAUUAUAAAUAACGUUCCCUCAUUAAUAUUAUUAUAAAUAACGUUCCCUCAGUAAUAUUAUUAUAAAUAACGUUCCCUCAGUAAUAUUAUUAUAAAUAACGUUCCCUCCCUCAGUAAUAUUAUUAUAAAUAACGUUCCCUCCCUCAGUAAUAUUAUUAUAAAUAACGUUCCCUCAGUAAUAUUAUUAUAAAUAACGUUCCCUCAGUAAUAUUAUUAUAAAUAACGUUCCCUCAGUAAUAUUAUUAUAAAUAACGUUCCCUCCCUCAGUAAUAUUAUUAUAAAUAACGUUCCCUCAGUAAUAUUAUUAUAAAUAAUGUUCCCUCAGUAAUAUUAUUAUAAAUAACGUUCCCUCAGUAAUAUUAUUAUAAAUAACGUUCCCUCAGUAAUAUUAUUAUAAAUAACGUUCCCUCAGUAAUAUUAUUAUAAAUAACGUUCCCUCAGUAAUAUUAUUAUAAAUAACGUUCCCUCAGUAAUAUUAUUAUAAAUAACGUUCCCUCAGUAAUAUUAUUAUAAAUAACGUUCCCUCAGUAAUAUUAUUAUAAAUAACGUUCCCUCAGUAAUAUUAUUAUAAAUAACGUUCCCUCCCUCAGUAAUAUUAUUAUAAAUAACGUUCCCUCAGUAAUAUUAUUAUAAAUAACGUUCCCUCAGUAAUAUUAUUAUAAAUAACGUUCCCUCCCUCAGUAAUAUUAUUAUAAAUAACGUUCCCUCAGUAAUAUUAUUAUAAAUAACGUUCCCUCAGUAAUAUUAUUAUAAAUAACGUUCCCUCAGUAAUAUUAUUAUAAAUAACGUUCCCUCAGUAAUAUUAUUAUAAAUAACGUUCCCUCCCUCAGAUAUUAUUAUAAAUAACGUUCCCUCAGUAAUAUUAUUAUAAAUAACGUUCCCUCAGUAAUAUUAUUAUAAAUAACGUUCCCUCCCUCAGUAAUAUUAUUAUAAAUAACGUUCCCUCAGUAAUAUUAUUAUAAAUAACGUUCCCUCAGUAAUAUUAUUAUAAAUAAUGUUCCCUCCCUCAGUAAUAUUAUUAUAAAUAACGUUCCCUCAGUAAUAUUAUUAUAAAUAACGUUCCCUCAGUAAUAUUAUUAUAAAUAACGUUCCCUCAGUAAUAUUAUUAUAAAUAAUGUUCCCUCCCUCAGUAAUAUUAUUAUAAAUAACGUUCCCUCAGUAAUAUUAUUAUAAAUAACGUUCCCUCAGUAAUAUUAUUAUAAAUAACGUUCCCUCAGUAAUAUUAUUAUAAAUAACGUUCCCUCAGUAAUAUUAUUAUAAAUAACGUUCCCUCAGUACUAUUAUUAUAAAUAACGUUC
rnacentral:lncRNA from 8 species